AGUGGCGAACGGGUGAGUAAUGUAUCGGAACGUGCCCAGUAGCGGGGGAUAACUACGCGAAAGCGUAGCUAAUACCGCAUACGCCCUACGGGGGAAAGCAGGGGAUCGCAAGACCUUGCACUAUUGGAGCGGCCGAUAUCGGAUUAGCUAGUUGGUGGGGUAACGGCUCACCAAGGCGACGAUCCGUAGCUGGUUUGAGAGGACGACCAGCCACACUGGGACUGAGACACGGCCCAGACUCCUACGGGAGGCAGCAGUGGGGAAUUUUGGACAAUGGGGGAAACCCUGAUCCAGCCAUCCCGCGUGUGCGAUGAAGGCCUUCGGGUUGUAAAGCACUUUUGGCAGGAAAGAAACGUCGCGGGUUAAUACCCUGCGAAACUGACGGUACCUGCAGAAUAAGCACCGGCUAACUACGUGCCAGCAGCCGCGGUAAUAC
rnacentral:rRNA from 1 species